rnacentral:rRNA from 1 species
AAUGAACGCUGGCGGCGUGCUUAACACAUGCAAGUCGAACGAGAACGGGAUUGCUUGCAAUCCUUAUUAAAGUGGCGCACGGGUGAGUAACACGUGGAUAACCUACCAGAUGUUCCGGAACAACAUUGCGAAAGCGAUGCUAAUACCGGAUGAAGUUUAUGGGACUUCGGUUUUAUAAAUAAAAGCCUGCCUCUACUUGUAAGCAGGUGACAUGUGAUGGGUCCGCGUACCAUUAGCUAGCUGGUGGGGUAAUGGCCUACCAGGGCGACGAUGGUUAGCUGGUCUGAGAGGAUGAUCAGCCACACUGGAACUGACACACGGUCCAG